GGAUGAGAAACAUUUUUUACUCUAUUGUGAGUAUAAUAAAACUCUAAGAAAUGAUUUUUUUCAUCACAUAUGUACUGAAAAUAAUAACUUUAAUAAUUUAAAUGAAGAAGAAAAAAUUCAAUAUUUACUAAAUCCAUCAUCGCCUUUACAAACAAAUAAGUUAGGAUCCUUCUUGAAAAAGUCAUUAGAACUGAGGGCAGGGGACUCUUAACAACUUUUUUGUUGUUAAAAAAAAUUUUGAUGCUGUUAUUAUUGUGUAUGUUUAAUAUGUAUGUUUAUUGUGUUUAUUGUGUUAAUAUAUGUUGGUCAC
rnacentral:lncRNA from 1 species